UACGGGGGGGGCAAGCGUUGUUCGGAAUUACUGGGCGUAAAGGGCGCGUAGGCGGCCUGCUAAGUCGGAUGUGAAAUCCCUCGGCUCAACCGAGGAACUGCAUCCGAUACUGGCGGGCUUGAAUCCAGGAGAGGGUAGUGGAAUUCCCGGUGUAGUGGUGAAAUGCGUAGAUAUCGGGAGGAACACCAGUGGCGAAGGCGACUACCUGGCCUGUUCUUGACGCUGAGGCGCGAAAGCUAGGGGAGCAAACGGG
rnacentral:rRNA from 1 species